rnacentral:rRNA from 1 species
AUUGAACGCUGGCGGCAUGAUUUACACAUGCAAGUCGAACGGUAACAGGCCGCAAGGUGCUGACGAGUGGCGAACGGGUGAGUAAUGCAUCGGAACGUGCCCAGUCGUGGGGGAUAACUACUCGAAAGAGUAGCUAAUACCGCAUACGAUCUAUGGAUGAAAGCGGGGGACCGUAAGGCCUCGCGCGAUUGGAGCGGCCGAUGUCAGAUUAGGUAGUUGGUGGGGUAAAGGCUCACCAAGCCAACGAUCUGUAGCUGGUCUGAGAGGACGACCAGCCACACUGGGACUGAGACACGGCCCAGACUCCUACGGGAGGCAGCAGUGGGGAAUUUUGGACAAUGGGCGCAAGCCUGAUCCAGCAAUGCCGCGUGCAGGAAGAAGGCCUUCGGGUUGUAAACUGCUUUUGUACGGAGCGAAACGGCUCUGGUUAAUACCCGGGGCUAAUGACGGUACCGUAAGAAUAAGCACCGGCUAACUACGUG